UACGUAGGGUGCAAGCGUUGUCCGGAAUUAUUGGGCGUAAAGCGUGCGCAGGCGGUGAUGUAAGACAGGUGUGAAAUCCCCGGGCUUAACCUGGGAACUGCAUUUGUGACUGCAUUGCUGGAGUGCGGCAGAGGGGGAUGGAAUUCCGCGUGUAGCAGUGAAAUGCGUAGAUAUGCGGAGGAACACCGAUGGCGAAGGCAAUCCCCUGGGCCUGCACUGACGCUCAUGCACGAAAGCGUGGGGAGCAAACAGG
rnacentral:rRNA from 1 species